rnacentral:lncRNA from 13 species
GGAAGAUGGAACAGAACUUUGCUGAUUUGUUAACGGAUGCAUUUUCAGACACAUCCCUCCCAUCUUUCCCUGAAGGAGGGUUCGACUUUGAGCCUCUUGAUUUUGACGAAGCCAAGACAGAAAUGUUCUCUGGAAGAUUACCAGUGCUGAGAGAGGAAGAGGAAGAUGUGGAUGAAGGACAGGAAGAGGAAGAGCCUGGUGGAGAAACUGGAACUGUACCUGACUCUAUCUCAGUGAAGACAUAUGAUGUGAGUUUGACUGAAGAGGAUACACAACAUAUUGAUGAUGAGGAGAAGUGGGAGGAGGAGGAAGAGGAGGGCAAGGAGGAGGAAGAGGAGGGCAAGGAGGAGGAAGAGGGCAAGGAAGAGGAGGAGGAGGAGGAGGGCAAGGAGGAGGAAGAGGAGGGCAAGGAAGAGGAGGAGGAAGAUGAAGAUGAAGAGGAGAUCACCUCAGGAGAAGAAGAGGACACAGGAAUAGAGAACAUUGGCUCCCCAGGGGGUAGGUCUGUGGUUGUUCACUACGACGAAGGGAAUAUAGAAAAUAUCGUAACUACAGGACAACCUUUUGCCCAAGAGGAUAGGGAAAACCCUAACAUCAGAAACAUAGAGCGAGGUGCUUAUGAGAACAGUGAUGUGAGUUGUUUUGAGGGUGUUACUGAAGACGUCACCAUGGAGAUCACAGAAGAUAUAAGUGAAUGGAUUGAAGAAGAGGAGAGACCGGCAGCUGAAGAAAACCAAGAGAAAUCAUCUGAUUCAGACCUGGAGGUCCCGACAAGCUCUAUCACUGAAAACCAGAGAGAAGAGGGAAAGAAAGGAGUGAACUUACUCUCCCCACAUUUUCCCCAGGAGAAUGAAGAGGAAGAAGAGCAAGAUGAACCUGGAGCUCCAGAGAUUGUUUCUGGUUGUCCUGAUCCCGCAGCAACACAGAAUCUGCAAUCUAUUAUGGUCAAUACCUUUGUGGAACACCCGCUUGAGGCGAAAAUUAAGGACUUCCUAGGGGAUGACCACCAAGAGGCGGGUGAAAGCUUUGCAGAUUACCCCUCUGACUUCUUUCCAAGUGAAUACGACAAGGAUGGAGGGAAAGGGAGAGAGCGAAACAAAAAUGGGAGCACACUGUCUAGUCCCUCUGAGGGUCAUUUAAAGAUAGACGAGAAUGUCGACCCAGAGAGAGAGAUAACCGAGCAGAAGGAUAGCCAUGUACAGGGAGAGGAAGAUGAAAAGGUUGACGUGAGACCUGCUAUCUCUCUGAGCGUAGAAGGCAAACAAGAUUUUGCAGAUUGUGCGAUGUGUAAUAUCAAUAUUGACAUUAGCGUGAGCAAGAUUAUUGAAGACAAUCUUGAAGCUGAUAGCUCCAGUGAUAGUUCCAGUGAUAGCUCCACUGAUAGCUCCAGUGAUGGCUCCAGUGAGGAUGAGAAGGAUAAUGAAGAACACCCAGCCCUGCCAAGAUACCAGGGUCUUCCUCAGAGAGACUGCCGAUCUGAUGUUUUACCUCUACCUGACUGGGAGGGUGGAGAGGAGAACAUCUCCAAGCAGAGUGUUGCCGACCUGCAUCUUUCAAACACCAUCUCUGAUGUCCCCACUUUUACCCUUCACAGUGAGGCUGGACUCAGUACAGCAGACGUAACCAGGUGUGACAGGGGUAAGAGGAGUACAGGCAACAUGUCAUCAUCUGACUCUGAGGAUAAUUUUCCGGGAGAAUUUUGUACAUUGGAGACUGAACUAAGAAAGGACAAAGGGGAGACUUGGAUUUGGGGUAAAGAGGAGUAUCUUCGAGAAAUCCCGCCGGAGCUAGAAGGAAAGUUGGAGAACCACCUUCACACCAAUAUAAACUGGGACACAGGGGAAAAUAACGUGGACAGGAGUGGUUUCAUUCUAGAUUACCAGUACGAGGGGAGCGGAAUCACAGUCGGAGAGGAACAAUUUGCAGAUGAUGAAGAAGAGGAGGAGAGGAGUUGGAAACAAGAGAAAGUGAGAAUCGAGGCAUUCUACAAGUUUUAUAAUGACGAAGAGGAGAAGGAGGCCAUGGAAACAGAAGGUGCUUUUUCAAGGAGGAAGCCUAGAGUUCAGUUCUGCAUGGAUCCCCUGCAUCAAGUCAUUGAAUAUACAGACAGCAGCAGUGACACGGAUUUGGUCGACGGCGCAUCUGACAGAGAUGAGGACCUGGAUUCUACAGCAAGGCUUGAAGAGCAGCGUGAGCCUGAGACUCAGGAGAGUCAGAAGCCACAAGGAGAACUACAAGAUCUCAGCAAAAUACCUCGGGCACACAGCAAGAGAGAUUGGUGUCUGAGGGUGCUGAAGUUCCUGCUGAAGAUGGCCCUUUUGACAUUGAUUGGACUUUUGACAUUCUGGUGGACAACAGACCUAAAGGACUUGGACUGGUGAUCUGGACCAAAUACAGUGAUUGCAAACGACUGUACUGUAUUGUCAAUAUGCCUAUGCCUGAAAAUAAUUUGAUAAUAUAGUAGCAGCAGCUAAGUAGAAAAUGCUUACUUGUAAGGAAAAUACUCUCUCCUUAUACUGUAGUUGCUGUCACUUUUAUUUUCAUAAUGUCUUCAUCUGUAACAUGUCUUCAUCUGUUUUGAUGGAUAAUAAAAAGGGGUCUAUUUAUAUUCCCAUUUAACUUUAAGGUUCAGCAUUUUAUAUAUUGUUUUACAUCACAGAUACCAGAAAGCGUGGCUUUUCCACACAAAUAUAAGCCUUAUUGUCUAAAUUCUCUGGUACUAUGUGACUCUUGCCAGAGCGUAAGAUAUACCUAAGAAGCUGCUGUCACGGGUGAAUGAUUUUUUAAAGAGGAACCUGAAACAACGUUGUAACAAUCAUAUAAAUAGAAUGAAUCAAUCGGACAUCCGCCAUUCAAGUCUUUUUUUAUUUUAUUUUUUUAUUAUUAAUUUCAAAACAAUACAUAAAGCACGAGGGAACACAAGCAUACAUAUAUUACAAACAAUAAACAAUCGAGCUAGGGGGUACAAUAUCACAUUACAAUUACACAAGGACCUUAUGGGACAUGCAUAUACUUACAAUUCUAACAGCUUUUUUGUUAGUAGAGCAUUUAACUGUCUUAAAAUACAGUUCAAUUUAUUUUUGUAGGGUACGAAAAUGUGGUUUUCUGUUUGUAAAUUUACAUUUGUGUAUAUGAAAUGUGGCCAAAAGAAUAAUGAAAUUAAUUACAUAAAAAUGAUUAUGCUUAUUUCUAUCAUAGGUCAAGAAUCCAAACAGUACAUCUCUCCACAAUAGUGUCAAAUCUUCAUAAAUGUGUUCAAUUAUAAACCUACUGAUGUCUUGCCACAGUUUUCUUACAUACAUACAAUGCCAAAAAAGAUGCACAACUGUUUCUGUGUGGUCAUUACAAAAGGAGCAAUUUGAGUUGAUGUUUUCCUUAAACUUCUUCAUAUAGCGAGCGGUUGGCAGGAUAAUAUUUAUGAAUAAUUUUAAAGGAAACUAACUUAAUUUUGUUAACAAGUAGGUAUGUGUGUGUGUGGCAACAUCCAAACUUUUUUCCCAACAGAUAUUAUCAAUAAAUCCAUUCCAGUAAGGCAUGACAUAAGUUACAACAUAGAUACAACAUCCUGCUGAAACAAGGAUCGUAUCGCUCUGUUGUUGAAUGGAUCAAAAGAGAAACAAAUCUUUCCUACUGAUGGGUCAACAGGGUCAAUAGAAGGUAGGCUCUGAGGGUCAGGUCUUUCCUACUGAUGAGUCAACAGGGUCAAUAGAAGGUAGGCUCUGAGGGUCAGGUCUUUCCUACUGAUGAGUCAACAGGGUCAACAGAAGGUAGGCUCUGAGGGUCAGGUCUUGACACGUUCCUGAAUAACAUAGCAACACCUGAGGGAAUGGCAUCUAAAACAAUUGCAAAAUCUUUAGGUGUUACAGGGACCUUGUAAAGUGAUAAGAAUUCCUUAUAACUGAGUAAAAGACCCUCUGCAUUUACCCGUUGGCUCACCAAUAGGAUAUUAUUUCGGAACCAAUAUUCUAAAAACAGAGAGGUAUUUUUAUACAAUAUAUUUUUAUACAAUAUAUAUAUAUAUAUAUAUAUAUAUAUAUAUAUAUAUAUAUAUAUAUAUAUAUAUAUAUAUUCCAUAUAUAAUAUCUGUGUGGAGAAAAAUUGUGUUUAUAAAUUAAGGACCAUGACAAGAAAACCUGCCGAUGAAAAGCAGAAAGUUUCACUGGAACUUUGUCAAUGUUAUAAUUGCAAAACAACAUGAAGUUAAGGCCACCAAAAGUAGAGAAGACAUGAUGAGGAAUAAAAUUCCAGAUAGAAGUGGGUCUUCUUAGGAGUUGUUUUAUCCAAUUGAUCUUAAAAUUAUUAUUUAAAGUAGUAAAAUCCAGAAAAUUCAGUCCUCCAUUCUCAUAAGUGUUCAUUACAACAGUUUUCCUAAUGUAAUGGGUACGGUUUCUCCAAAGAAAGUUGAAAAGCAUCUGGUCUAUCUCCUUGCUUAUUUUACGGUCAAGAUAUAAAGAUAGCGCACCAUAUGUUAGUCUAGAGAUACCUUCAGCCUUGGUUAUUAGGACUCUACCUUUUAAAGAUAGGUCCCUCUGUAGCCAUUGAUUUAGUUUCUUCUGGGUUUUUUUAAUAAUAGGGUUAAAAUUUAGUAAGCCUCUAGACUUCUGAUCCUUUGUAAUGGUUAUGCCUAAAUAUGUAAGUUCUUCUUUUACUGGAAUACCAUAAUAUGAAGGUGUCACACAAUCUUUGACAGCCAUGAGUUCACAUUUCUUAAUGUUAAGAUAUAGACCAGACGCUUUGGAAAGUCCGCAAUUCAAGUCAAUGACGGUAUAAUGAUCGGACUGGUGGUCAUUGGGAGUGUACCCACCCAUAGGAGCAAAGCAGGAAGUGCACCCAUCAAUAUAAAUCAAAUUAAUUUUAUUUGUCACAUGCUUUGUAAACAACAGGUGUAGACUAACAGUGAAAUGCUUACUUAUGCUGUGGAUUUGUUGAUCCAACUCAAUUGACAUUACAAUACGUACAUUCUAUUGCACGAGCCACAUCAG